rnacentral:rRNA from 1 species
ACUCCUACGGGAGGCAGCAGUGGGGAAUUUUGGACAAUGGGCGAAAGCCUGAUCCAGCAAUGCCGCGUGUGUGAAGAAGGCCUUCGGGUUGUAAAGCACUUUUGUCCGGAAAGAAAUCCUUGGCUCUAAUACAGUCGGGGGAUGACGGUACCGGAAGAAUAAGCACCGGCUAACUACGUGCCAGCAGCCGCGGUAAUACGUAGGGUGCGAGCGUUAAUCGGAAUUACUGGGCGUAAAGCGUGCGCAGGCGGUUUGCUAAGACCGAUGUGAAAUCCCCGGGCUCAACCUGGGAACUGCAUUGGUGACUGGCAGGCUAGAGUAUGGCAGAGGGGGGUAGAAUUCCACGUGUAGCAGUGAAAUGCGUAGAGAUGUGGAGGAAUACCGAUGGCGAAGGCAGCCCCCUGGGCCAAUACUGACGCUCAUGCACGAAAGCGUGGGGAGCAAACAGGAUUAGAAACCCCAGUAGUCCCAUG